UCCGUAGGUGAACCUGCGGAGGGAUCAUUACCGAGUUUACAACUCCCAAACCCCUGUGAACAUACCUUAAUGUUGCCUCGGCGGAUCAGCCCGCGCCCCGUAAAACGGGACGGCCCGCCAGAGGACCCAAACUCUAAUGUUUCUUAUUGUAACUUCUGAGUAAAACAAACAAAUAAAUCAAAACUUUCAACAACGGAUCUCUUGGUUCUGGCAUCGAUGAAGAACGCAGCAAAAUGCGAUAAGUAAUGUGAAUUGCAGAAUUCAGUGAAUCAUCGAAUCUUUGAACGCACAUUGCGCCCGCUGGUAUUCCGGCGGGCAUGCCUGUUCGAGCGUCAUUUCAACCCUCAAGCCCCCGGGUUUGGUGUUGGGGAUCGGCUCUGCCUUCUGGCGGUGCCGCCCCCGAAAUACAUUGGCGGUCUCGCUGCAGCCUCCAUUGCGUAGUAGCUAACACCUCGCAUCUAGAACGCGGCGCGGCCAUGCCGUAAAACCCCAACUUCUGAAUGUUGACCUCGGAUCAGGUA
rnacentral:rRNA from 1 species